UUGUUGUAUGAAAUAAAAUUUCAGUUGCCUAGCAACGUCCCAGAAGUGCAUAUUGCGGCAAAUGGAACCGGUCUGAGUUUAGUUGAGGUCGCAGUUUUCUACCAUAUCAACAAGGAUGAUGCCACGCCCAGUUUCAACCUGAAAAUCACCAUGCCAGAAGAGUCCAUCAUCCACUACAUAGCAGAAGUUUGCAUAAGAUAAGCACGCUAUUUUGUUGUUGUGUUCUUCAAAAUUGGGUGUCAUGCAACAUUUUAUUACUCUAUGAAAAUUUCCCAAUGUUACUAUUCCGCAUAAAAACUAAACUGUAUAAAACUAACUAAGUUUUGCUUUAUCAAAACUCUGUUUUUCUAAUUAUAAUUGCUAAGGUGAGCAAUACGAAAAAAGUUGUAUGAACUUAUUUUGGCCCGAUGGCUUUCGAUUACAAAUUUUGUUCUACAUUAAAACUCUACGUGUUAGCAGUUUGUGAUAGCUGUUUAUGAAAUAAGAUAUGAUUUAUGCGUGGGUGCACCAUCUCAACUUCUCAACUUCAUAAUUGUUAUGGGUUAUUCGUUUAUAGCAAAAGAGGGUGACCUUGCAAGUGAGGCUUGAACUUACCGUCGUACCUUCAGUUGCAAUCUUUUCACAGAGGGCGCACCUUCAUGCUCUAUCACUUUUUCAAUUAUCGUUCCAGCUACAUGAAGGAGGGCGCGAGCGGGAUGUCUGUUAUAGAGAUUGGCUACCCAUCGGGCUUCAGUGCGGACCCCAAGAGCGUCUCGUCCCAUCUCCUGCUCAAAAGGGUGGAGGAAGGGGACAAAAAAGUGAUUCUCUAUCUUGACGAGGAACAUAUAGUCCGUAUCUGGAUUAUCUUCUAUUUCAAAAAUGUGUGAUCGAUUGUAUUGGCAAGGAUGAGUUGUGCUUCCGCGUUACGAUGGAGAGAGUGGGGCUGGUGGCUGGAGCACAACCAGUUCCUGUCAAGGUGUACGACUACUACGAGCCUGGGCGCGGGUCGUGUUGGAAGAUCCUAAAUAGAAGACCAUAGUAAUAGGACAGUGACUGUAUUUCAUUGAUUGAACUGUAUUUUUUUUAUAUCAAUACAUCAUUUCAGUUUUUAUAAUCAAUUGCUCGCUUUCUGAUUUUAAAUAUUGUUUUCUGAAAUAAAGCCUAAAAUGAA